rnacentral:tRNA from 1 species
GGCUUGAUAGCUCAACUGGUGGAGCAUUGCACCGAUAUCGCGAAGGUCAUGGGUUCGAUUUCCGUUCAAGCCC